rnacentral:rRNA from 1 species
AUGCGCUCUCCGGCGAGCCUGCUGCACCGCAGCACGGCCGCCGCCGGCCCCGGCGAGCCUCCAUCGCUGCCGCCGCCUCGGCCCGAGCAGCAGUCGCUCGUGGUCACCGUGGACUCGGACAUGGCGGUGAUCCUGGCGUCGCUGCUCUGCGUCCUCCUCUGCGUCCUCGGCCUCGCCCUCCUGUCCCGGCGCGCGUGCCGCCGCCGGUCCUCCGACAACUACCCUCCUCCCCCCAAGGGCCUCAAGAGGAAGGCCAUCGACGCGCUCCCCACCGUCUCCUUCGCCGCGGCAGCUUCGUCGUCGUCGGAGUGCGCGAUAUGCCUGGCGGAGUUCGCCGACGGAGAGCCCGUGCGCGUGCUCCCGGGAUGCGGCCACGGCUUCCACGUCGCCUGCGUCGACGCCUGGCUCCGGACUCGCGCCACGUGCCCGUCCUGCCGGGCCGCCAUCGUUGCCACGCCCAUGCAGAUGCAGGUACAGCCAGCGGCGGCGCCCACCGUGGUAGUUGUCGUGGCAGGGAGUAGCAGCUGCCGGAGAUGUGGCCAGGUGACGGCGCCGGCCGGUGCACGUGCUGCCGACGGGGCGUUCUUGGCUUAG